UCUGAAGCCACGAGUCUCUGCUGCUCUGUGUUGGCAGCCUGGCUGCCCAGGACAGGACUCUCUGGUCAGUCUUACCCACAGGGCUGUGUGUGUGACACCAGACCUGCCUCACGACUGGUCAGGGUGUGUUCUAGGCUACUGGACAGGACAGCAGGUUGAACAGACCCUACCAGCUCUGAGCUCAGCCCCAAGCCCCAGAAGACAUGUACCCUGGCCUGAGCUGAAUCUCUGCCUGACACCAGAGAGGACACUGGCUUGGGGGCUGACGGGUGGUACAUCUUUCAGGUCUCCCACAUGGAGACUCCUGGCCUGCCCAGGCCUAUUCCCACCAUGGCCAUUGGCAAGGGUGCUGCCUAGAGUGUUUCUGUUGUCUGGGGAAUGCACACCCCCAUUCAGCAGCCCAGGUGGUCGAGGCCCAUCCACAAGCCUCUGUGACCCCACAGGCCCUGCUCCUGGGGCCUUGGUGUUCAGCUUUAGGAUAGUGAAUCCUCCAGGCUACGUACUACGUGCCACAAAGGAAUGGGCAGCCAGAGGCCCCCAGGCACAGGUCCAGUGCUGCCCACCACUCCUGCUGUUGCCUUCCCCACCUGGGCUGCUGCAGGGGGGUGUGCACUGCCCACCUGGGCCCUGUGGGGUCUCUGG
rnacentral:lncRNA from 1 species